AUAUCUUUCUCGGCCUUUUGGCUAAGAUCAAGUGUAGUAUCUGUUUUUAUUCGUUUAAUAUCUAAUGUGUGGGCCAUGUGCCCACAACGAUAUUAAAUUUAUUGUGGCUUGCCAUUGGGGCCCUUGUGUGCCGCCUAGGCGUUGCACUAUUGCCUAGGUCUAGCGCACCCCAA
rfam:Triticum aestivum genome assembly, contig: Triticum_aestivum_CS42_TGACv1_scaffold_544224_6DS